rnacentral:rRNA from 1 species
GACGAACGCUGGCGGCGUGCUUAACACAUGCAAGUCUAACGGUAAACCGCCUUCCUUUUGGGUGGGUGUGGAGGAGUGGCGAACAGGGGGUUAACACCUUGGUAACCUGCCCCCUUUUUCUGGAUAACCGCAUGAAAGUGACGCUAAUACGGCAUACUCUCUCUCUUUCACAUGAUGGGUCUGGGAAAGUUAUUGUGUCGGUUGGGGAUGAUCUCGCGGCCUGUCAGCUUGUUGGUGUGGUGGUGGCCUACCGAUGCGGUGACGGGUAGCCGGGCUGAGAGGGUGGACGGGCACAGUGGGGCUGAGAGACCGCAAAGACUCCGAGGGGAGGCAGUAGCGGGGAAGAGUGGAAGAUGUGGGGAAGACUGAAGCAGCGACGCAGCGUGAGGGAAGGAGGCCUUCGUGUUGUGAAAAUCUUUCGGGAGUGAAGAGGGCCUGCCUCGUUUGUGGGUGGGUUGACGGUAGCUGGAUAAGAAGCGACGGCUAACUACGUG